GUGCUUGCUUCGUCAGCACAUACACUAAAAUUGGAACCAUAAAGAGAAGAUUAGCGUGCCCCUGUGCAAGGAUGACACACAAUUUUGUGAAGUGUUCAUGGUUUUG